rnacentral:rRNA from 1 species
GACGAAGGAUGCAAGCGUUAUCCGGAUUCAUUGGGUUUAAAGGGUGCGUAGGCGGCCCUGUAAGUCCGUGGUGAAAUCUCUGAGCUUAACUCAGAAACUGCCAUGGAUACUAUUUGUCUUGAAUAUUGUGGAGGUAAGCGGAAUAUGUCAUGUAGCGGUGAAAUGCUUAGAUAUGACAUAGAACACCAAUUGCGAAGGCAGCUUACUACACAGUUAUUGACGCUGAGGCACGAAAGCGUGGGGAUCAAACAGG